AUGAAACUUAAAAAAGUAGGAAAACAGACGUGCUCCUCCACCCGUGCUGGGGGGCCAUGUGCUCCUCCACCCGUGCUGGGGGGCCAUAUGCUCCUCCACCCGUGCUGGGGGGCCAUGUGCUCCUCCGACCAUGCUGGGGGGCCACAUGCUCCACCACCCGUGCUGGGGGGCCACAUGCUCCUCCGACCAUGCUGGGGGGCCAUGAUUUCCUCCACCCGUGCUGGGGGGCCGUAUGCUCCUCCACCUGUGCUGGGGGGCCAUGUGCUCAUCCACCCGUGGUGGGGGGCCAUGUGCUCCUCCACCCGUGCUGGGGGGCCGUACGCUCCUCCACCCGUGCUGGGGGGCCGUACGCUCCUCCACCCGUGCUGGGGGGCCGUACGCUCCUCCACCCGUGCUGAUGGCAUUGGAGGAAGGUUUUUGCAUAAUGGGAGCAAAAACAGCAGCGAUGCUGCAAAAUAGAAACUCUAGACGUUGAUACUUUUGUAUUUUUGGAGAAAAAGUAAAAAAGAGCGCGGUUGAGAACAGACCAGUCUAUGAAGGACACUGCCACCUAACGCCCAUCUUUACGAGCUCCAACCAGCACUCCAUCAUCGACCUCCAACCGAUGGAGACAAAUCUAUUCUGCUUCCAUUGUUGUCUGGCGGAGGAGAGACUGUGAGAAGUCCCUCCCCCGUCCGCGGCUCCGCCCAGAGCCGCCGCCCUUUGGUCUCCUGCUUCAACCUGCAGGCUCAUUUCUGUUUUAGUAAGAAAAUACACAGCAAGCGCUAUUUGGACGUGAUACCCGGGGUCGCACCGCUGCACCAUCGACUCACAAAGAGGAAGGUGGAGGAGGGGCGACAGAGGGGCCAACCAGGCUCCGCCUCCUCUUGUUAGUUCUCCUCACCCCUAUCCUUGGUAGAAAGCGUGACUUGCUUCGACUUUCUCGAUGAGCGAGGUCAUUCUCGGUGGAGCAGCAGGGCCCCGCCCUCUCUUACGCUGGACGCCAUCGUGUUCUCGUUUCUGUUUAAGACCUUUUUUGAAUUUUCAUUCAUCUUUUUUUUUUUAAUGAAGUAGUGUUUUGAUCAUAUUACUUUCCCUUUCGAUCUGUUACCGCGUGGCGACCAGCUCGCUCAAGUACUAACCAGUACCAGUUACUGCGUCAAACCAGCAGGAGGCGCCCAGGCUGUGAGAGCCUUGGAGCUUGGGCUUCAGGCCGCAGGGGCUUUGGCGCCGCCCGCCGUCUGCGUGAACAUCCGCCUCUCUGCGGGACGACGCCCAAACCUUCGUUGUGUUUCGACGUUUCCUGUCCGACUGAAAUAAUAGCAGUUUAUGUUGCAUGAUUGACCCGCGAGGUCAGAACUUCAUGUUCCUCAGACCCUCGCCACCCGGUUGGUGUCGUGGUUAGAAGGGAACCUGGCGGGGCCAGAGGAACCGGGUCCACCUCUUCCUUCCUUCACCGGUUUGGACGCGUUCGCUGUUGAGGCGCCCUUCACUCGUGUCUGAUGCAUUGUUGUGAUUUGACGGCACAUGGACGCGGCGUCGAGUACAUAUGCAGUAGAUCGCCACAGAACGCCGCUCUCUGAAGGCUGGAAGUGUGGCAGGCCGGACGGGUCGGAGGUGGACGGCGCAAACCCAGGGCCUCCAACAGACGCCUGCCGGUCUGCCGGACUCGACGCACCCCGGGAAAAACACGCAAACCUCCUGACACAUAUCGCUACCUCAACGCAAAACCUCAGCUAGAAGAUUGUUCAGAAGAGAACAGAAUCCAGGACGCUCACGGUUCACUUUAAUUUAUUCGGUUCCUCUCCACCAGAGACGGAACAAACGUUUGGGGUUUGGGUCCGGGCGGGACUGCUGGAGCUGGAGCGCCUGGCCGGGACUCGUCACCGGGUCACCUUGGAGGGGCUUCAAAUCUCGAACCCCACAGAAAGGUCGGCUCCACAGCGCCCCCUGGUACUCUCCUCCGGAACAACACCAGAAAACAUCUCAUCAUUUCGUUGAUCUACCUCUUAGGAAACAAAAUAGAUAAAAGCAGUAAUUUCUCCUUUAUGAAGCUGACAAAAUGCAGAAAAAAAGACAGAAAUUGCUGAGAGAUAUUAUAGUUUAAAGAAUAACCCGGUAGCGGCAUCUCCAUAUACUGUAGUGGAUAGUCUAUUAAAGAAGAACCCUUCCUUCCUCCAAAGAUGAUUGGACUUUUUCCCUCCACUCCUAGAUGAUUUCAGAAGACUCUAAGCGGGGGGGACGAAGCUCGCCGCCUGUGAUGAAUUCAUGUCUUUAAACCCAACAUGCCCCCCGGCUCUGCUGCAGACGAGCUCCGGUCGCCCCCCCGAUCUCCUUGCUUCUGACAGCAGAUUGUAUCUCUUUUGUUCGGGUGCAUUUAGCAUUUCCUCCUCUGUGAAAGCCUUCAUGAGCGCCAGCGCCACUUCCUCUUUCUCUGCUGAUGAAAACAAAAGGACCUGUUUUUGUGCGCUGACUGCGCCGGCGCAGGCCAGAGGAGGAGGGGGCGGGGCCCACAACACCUGUGCCCUCCUCCUCCUCACCUGACGGCGGCGCCGUCUCUAAACAUGUGGACUUUCACCCUCUACCUGCCUGAUUUCUUUAGUCCUCAUCAACACUCGUUUAAUUCCUUGUAAACAAACAGAGCAUAGAUAUGAAUGUGUUAUUAAAAGAUGACCAUGGACGCCUCCGUGUCGUUUGUCGCCUCUUUGAUGAAGAUGAGGAUGAAAAACCUCCGAGGGGCAGAGCCGUCUGUCUGUCUGUGCCGUUCGGAUAGAAAAACGGUUUCUGAUCAUUUUAACUAAACAAAGGUGAAACUUUCAUUAUGAAAACAGAAAAUCUUCUCUAAAAAAUGACUUUUUUACCUGAAAACCGGAAAAAACCCACUUAUUUCUAAGUUUCAAUCAGCUUUAUUCAUCAUUUUUUGAAUUAAAACUAUUAACAGUCAAGAUGCUGAACACAGGGCUCCUCCCCCUGGCGUUCCAAACAGGAAGUAGCCGCUGGUACAAAUGGACAGCGUUACUCAGUAACUCCAUCGAUCCUUUUUCCUUAACGUCUUCUUGAUGAAAACGUUUCUCACAUAUUUCUAUGUCAAAUCAUAAACUCAAAAGUAGGUGGGGCCUGCUGGCCCCCACUUCCAACCUGUAGCACCCUUUCAAGUGGAAGGGGUGUGGCCUUCCAACAAGCUCACUCUUGAUUGGUCAGAGUGCUUGCCGUAGGAACUCAACUUGGGCCAAUCAGUGAUGACGUCUGAUUGGCGGCGACCAUAUUUAUCUUUUAUUGAAGGAUUUCAGAAUACAAUACAAAAAUAUAACAUAAAUACAAAACAAUAUUGUUUUAAACUUUUGAAAUUCUUAAUU
ensembl:lncRNA